AUGGAGGGCCUGGCGCAGCGCGCGGCGCUGCUGCGGGACUCGCUCGGGAAGAGCCAGGCGGCCACCGACGCCGUCGUCUCCAUCCUCGGCUCCUUCGACAGCCGCCUCUCCGCGCUCGACGCCGCCAUGCGCCCCAUCCAGCUCCGCACCCACGCCGUCCGCACCGCCCACGAGAACAUCGACCGCACCCUCCGCUCCGCAGACGUCAUCCUCACACAGUUCGACCGCACCAGAGAGGCAGAGCGCGAAAUACAAAAAGGUCCUAAUGAGAACCUCCAGGGUUUCCUCGACGCGGUCGACCGGCUGCGCAGCAUCGAGCGCUUCUUCAGCUCCAAUAGGAGCUACAGCAGCAGCGACCGGGUGCUCAGCCACGUGAACGGCCUCCUCUCCAAGGCCCUGGUGAAGAUGGAAGGUGAAUUCCAGAACCAGUUGACUCAGCGCAGCAAACCGAUGGAGCCUGACCGUCUUUUCGACUGCCUUCCGAGUACGCUUCGGCCAUCAGCCGAGUCUCGGUCUGAAGGUGGGAAACACCCGCCAGGUGGCGCGCAAUCUGAUAACCAUGAAACCGCGGAGGCUGCCGUAUACAAGCCUCCUGCACUUAUUGAGCCCAAGUUUGUUCCUUUGCUUGCUAAAUUGGCACAGCAGCUGGUCCAAGCUGGAUGCCAACAGCAAUGUGCAGAAAUAUACAGCGAAGCUCGUGCUUCAGCUUUAGAGUCGAGUUUGAAGAACUUGGGUGUUGAGAAACUGAGUAAAGAUGAAGUGCAGAAAAUGCCUUGGGAGAUUUUGGAGUCUAAAAUAGGGAACUGGAUUCAUUUCAUGCGAAUUGCUGUGAAACUUCUUUUCGCUGGGGAACGCCAGCUCUGUGACCAAGUUUUUCAAUGUAGCCAAUCUUUAAGGGAUAAGUGCUUUUCUGCAAUAACCAAGAACAGUUUGGCUACUCUACUCAGCUUUGGUGAGGCAAUUGCUAUGAGUAAAAGAUCACCGGAGAAAUUGUUUGUUCUGCUAGACAUGUAUGAGAUAAUGUGUGAACUUCAAACAGAGAUUGACACCAUCUUUGUUGGAGAAUCAUGCUCUCAAAUGCGUGACUCUGCACUCAGUCUGACAAAAUGUUUAGCACAAACUGCACAGAAGACUUUCAGUGAUUUCGAAGAAGCUGUCGAGAAGGAUGCAACAAAGAAUAUUCAUACUGAUGGAACAGUUCAUCCUUUGACAAGCUAUGUGAUUAACUAUGUUAAAUUUUUAUUUGACUAUCAAUCAACUCUGAAACAGCUCUUCCAGGAAUUCAAAAGGGAAGAUGGAUCAGGUUCUGAGCUGGCAUCUGUGACCAUGAGUAUUAUGCAAGCUUUACAAAAUAAUUUGGAUGCAAAAGCAAAACAAUACAAGGAUCCUGCAUUGAUGCACAUCUUUUUGAUGAAUAACAUUCAUUAUAUUGUUAAAUCUGUCCGCAGAUCAGAAGCCAAGGAUUUAUUGGGCGAUGACUGGAUUCAAAGACAUCGAAGGAUUGUACAGCAAAAUGCAAACCAAUAUAGAAGGGUUGCUUGGUCAAAGGUGUUGCAAUGCCUCUCGGGUCAAGGUUUGACUUCAUCAGGAGGUAGUGGUCAAGUAGGAAGCGAAGGUGGCAAUAGCAGUGGAGCUUCAAGAACAGCUGUGAAAGAGAGAUUCAGGUCUUUCAAUCUGCAAUUUGAAGAGAUUUAUCAAAAGCAGUGUGGCUGGUCUGUUCCAGAUUCAGAGUUGCGUGAGUCAUUGAGACUGGCAGUUGCAGAAAUUCUGUUACCCGCGUACAGAUCCUUCCAAAAACGCUUCGGGCCUCUCAUCGAGAACAGCAAAGCGCCUGGGAAGUACGUCAAGCACACGCCCGAGCAGCUUGAGCUGUUCCUGGGCAACCUAUUCGAGGGGAAACAAGAACGUCCUUGA
rnacentral:rRNA from 1 species